rnacentral:ncRNA from 2 species
UGACGAUGGAUGGGAGAGACCGCUAACGAGUUGGGGAUAACCCGAGCGGCACCGAAGGAGCAAACCGUUAUGCCUGCCGGGCUGACGAGUAAUCUCUCAGGUAAACGAACCGCCAUCCGAC